rnacentral:piRNA from 1 species
AUGAAAUGAAUGAGGACCUGGUCCUGUGGGU